AUGAUUGCUUCCCAUGCACAUCUUGAGUCUCUCAGUGACACAAGAAUGGGCCAAAAUGUUCUGACCUCUCAACAAAGGUGUGCCUGAGUCUUUGUCACUGUCACUUCUGAAGCACAGUGACACACUCUGAACUUAGUCCCUUUGCCACAGCUUGAGCUAAAUGCUGAGCUGUUAUGCUUCAGCGUAGAGAGGAUACGAGAAGCCUCUCUGCUACAAAAUGGCAGUGGAAAGCCAGAGGGGAGGGCAGACGACCUGAUAGGGAACAGCUGUAUCGUCUUAUGCUCAUCACAUACAGCACAAAGUGAGUAAAGACAGAUGACUGUGAGGUGUUUCUUAGGGUACCAUCUUUGCUUGGCCUUGAGGUUUCAUCUUACCAUUAGAAAACAGUAAAUCACUGUGUUUGUGGCUGCAAAAUUGUGUUUACAUGUGCACACACUGUACAGCCCUUCAGUACUCCUCUGGCAGCCUGUCUUACAGCUGCAUAAGGAACAAAUGGAUUUAAGUUUUGGAAGGCCUUCAGAACAGUGCAGUGGUGGCCUUUCUGCCUCUCCUGGAAGUCUGGCUCUCUAUUAUCUGUCUUUUGGGUUAAUGACAGUGCUGUGGGAGUGCUGAGAGGGGUUUCUGAGCUGAAGGAAGCCGUGAUCCGACUCUGACUCUCACUGGAAUGGGGUGAAGGAAGCACACGUUGAAGUUUUGGUGCAAUUAAUUACCAAGAAUGGUGUAUGGCUGAUAGGCCAUGUCAUCAGUUGCAUUUGUCUGCUGUCUUCUGGAAGGACACAAAUGAACCUCUGCAUCAGAGGGCUCUAAUUGGAUACAACUGCGGGUUUUGUUCGGCUUCAAGGUCUGUAUGUUGCAGCUCAGGAAGGCUGCCAAGAUCCCCCAGUUGUUAACAAGAAUGUCAUUCCUUGUAGAUGCGAGACUCCCUUCAGCCUGUGUUUGCUGGAGAAUCUGCAGAUUCAAAGCAUCCCACCAUGAAGACAAUCAGCCUCCAUGGGCUGAACUUCAGAGCACUCAGGCGAGAAGGCCACUCCACCUCUUUCCAUCCCUGGGAGUCUGCACUGCUGAGCCAGAUACCUGCAGCCAGGCAGACUGGAUGCCGUUGUUUCAGUGCUGCCCCAGCUUGCAGCUCCAGGAAGCAGGGACACCAGGAGCUGACACAGGAUGGCUCCCGGUCCUUUUUCCUGCAGUCCAGACAGUCUCUGGGCCACCUGGGGAAGGAGAAUAAAGAAUAUCAAGCCGCUGAAAUGACAAAGAAGUUUAAGCAGAGAUGAAGAGAAAGCAGAAAUUUGGGGACCGGCCCGUCAGGACUUGUUCAGGCCUCACUGAUUUCUUUCUCCAGCAGCGACGCGGAUCUGCAGCGUAUCCUGAGCCUCAUUUCUCAACCUUUGAGGGUUAUUUGAGGGAUCUUUGGUCCCCGGUGAGGCUGAGUCAGAAAAGCCAUCUCUGCACAGACAGGAGGGGGAUUAAGUCAGGUCCUGCUUCCCCUUUUAAGCUGCAGGAGAUACCAGCGAGGCCGUUCCCAUGGGACAGAGAUUAUCUCAUUGCUUUUGCUGGAAACGUCUGAGGGAUGCAGCGCAGGGAGAUGAUGGAUGGCUGUGAAACAUGAAGCGUGGAUCCAAGGGAUGGCUCUGCACACGCUUUACAUUUGCUUAAGCCAGAGAAGGACGUGGAUAUGCCGACUACCUGAUAAAGGUCUUUAAUCCUACAGUUGGACUUUCUGUGGGGUUGCAGGGAGCUUUGCUCCUUAUCUAUCCCGGAAUGUUACUGAUGUCGUGGACUCCAGCAAAGGUGAAUGUCCCAAUUUCAGGUCAAGUUGAUGCUGAUAGGGGUGCAGCUGUGGGAUCUGAAACGGAUUAAGGCCGGCUAUAUGAAUUUCAUAAAUAGUAAUACUAAACCAGUGCACACCUUAGGCUGAUAUUAAACAGGGGAUGAGUUGGUAUUCAUCCUUAAUAGCGAAUGCAUUAUAAUGAAAUGGAAACAUCAGGUUUUACUUACAAAGCCCAGGUUUCCCAUAGGAGGCGGUUUAUGGAGUGACCAUUUAUUAAAGACAAAUGCUAUCAUUCGAAACAUAUCUCAUGUAGAGAGGGGGACGGGCUGAUUCGGAGGAGCGGUAAUGAGAGCCGGAGCUUUGCAUUUACAAGGCAUUGAUGGAAGCAGGCUGAGCAUCAAGGCAAGGUGCACUGUCCCCCUGAGCCUCAGCAGCACUGCGAGGUGCUGAGCGCUGAGCCCCGACCCCAAAACCGAAUGGUAACACAUAUCGAGCAGCAGGCAGAAAGCAAAGCCGGUUCUCUCGAGUCAGAGCAGUCAUGUGCUUAAAAUAAGUCCAUCUUGGAGAGGAGCCAUCACCUCAGCAGGGCUCUGGGGGCUGAGCAGGGCUGGGGUGCUAAGCUCUGCUCUCUGCACUGGAAAUCCCCAGAAAUACGAGCUGGCUGCUGCUGAAUGGCUCCGGGUCUGCGUGAUGCUGUCUGAAGGAGCAGGCAAGAGAGCGCCAGGGGUUGUGCUCCAUCCUGUCGUUGCCACGUGGGUGGGUAACUGCGUCCUCAGGUUUUGCUUGUUUCAUCUUUGUGGUUUUGUCAUUCAUUGGGAAUUUCCAGCUCACGGCUGCCCUACGUACACACAGUUCACAGCUCUGGUGCGCUCUGAAGCACUAUGAUUCAUUCAAGUGGAAGGAGAAUGCGCAGAGCACCCUCAGGCCUGGGCCCAGGAGGGCAGUGCUGAUGGUAGCAGAGGGCACAGUGCCUCUUCUGCACACUCAGAGGCUUCUGUGACCUGAGGAGCGUACACAAAAAGGAAGGGAGAUCCCCCAUGUUUUAAUGUGCUCCUGCUGAGGGAUGCCAAUGUCAGCACCCACAGCCACAGCCCUUCCAAAGCCACAUGGCUUCCCUUUCACUUCAUGAGUUAGUGAUUUGGAAUUGCAGGGCAAAUGUUAAAUGUUAACAACUGCUGGUAAAGUCACAUCUGCAGAUCGUUUUGCUGUUCACCUGGAAAGAAACAGCUCUCAUUCAAUUAAUCAAAGAAGUAUAUGGUGGCUUUCUGGAUAGAUGCUGGCACCCUGACAGGACGAUGCUGUUCGUUCUUUGGGAUUGAAUCAGAAAUCCAGGAUGAGGACAUCAUUUGGAGGAAGUGGCAGGUAAAAUUGCAUGCUUUCUAGAAGCAUAGAUUUGGUUUGUUGCGUGUAGGAAGACUUUCUGGCUCAAUGUAGUAUGACAUUUGCAACCAUUUAAUUUGAAUAAAUUCCAUUUUUAUGU
rnacentral:lncRNA from 7 species